rnacentral:misc_RNA from 1 species
CUACUUCUACUAAAUUACGCCUACAUCCCAUAUUUUUUCAACACUCAAAACCUUAUUCUAGCGGCCCAUUUCAAUGUCAUUAUUAAUUGAUACUUAACUAUUUACGCUUGCUAGUACAUGUCUUACCCUCUACUCAUCAGUAGUGCGCGUAGUGUUGGGGCGCGAUAUAGGCUCAAGAGUGACUUAGUUUGAAUCAAGCUAUAUUGAUGGGGUAAGGAU